CCUACGGGGAGCUGCAGUGAGGACUAUUGGUCAAUGGGCGUAAGCCUGAACCAGCCAAGUCGCGUGAGGGCUGAAGGUUCUAUGGAUCGUAAACCUCUUUUAUAAGGGAAUAAAGUGUGGGACGUGUCCUAUUUUGUAUGUACCUUAUGAAUAAGGAUCGGCUAACUCCGUGCCAGCAGCCGCGGUAAUACUGAGGAUCCGAGCGUUAUCCGGAUUUAUUGGGUUUAAAGGGUGCGUAGGCGGCCUUUUAAGUCAGCGGUGAAAGUCUGUGGCUCAACCAUAGAAUUGCCGUUGAAACUGGGGGGCUUGAGUAUGUUUGAGGCAGGCGGAAUGUGUGGUGGAGCGGUGAAAUGCUUAGAUAUCACGCAGAACACCGAUUGCGAAGGCAGACUGACAAGCCAUGACUGACGCUGAUGCACGAAAGCGUGGGGAUCAAACAGGAUUAGAUACCCUGGUAGUC
rnacentral:rRNA from 1 species